rfam:Oryza meridionalis cultivar OR44 (W2112) chromosome 5, whole genome shotgun sequence.
AAUAAGCACAACCAUAAGUUUCCGUAUUAAAUUUUAAUCAUCCGUCUUAUAUAAAAAAGAAUUUAUAGUCAGUAUUUUUAUUGUUAUUAAAUUGUAAAACAUGAAUAUUACUUUAUGCAUAACUUAUGUCUUUCUUAAACAAAAUUAAAUAAGACGAACUAUUAAAGUUAUAUAUGAAAACUCAUCACUGUACUUAUU